UACGUAGGGUGCGAGCGUUGUCCGGAAUUACUGGGCGUAAAGAGCUCGUAGGUGGUUUGUCGCGUUGUUCGUGAAAACCGGGGGCUUAACCCUCGGCGUGCGGGCGAUACGGGCAGACUGGAGUACUGCAGGGGAGACUGGAAUUCCUGGUGUAGCGGUGGAAUGCGCAGAUAUCAGGAGGAACACCAAUAGCGAAGGCAGCUCGCUGGGACGUUACUGACACUAAGGCGCGAAAGCGUGGGGAGCGAACAGG
rnacentral:rRNA from 1 species